UGGAGGGGGGAGAUGAGAAGAAAGAGGUGCAAAUUCAAUCCUGUCUCUACGAUGAUGUCAUGGCAACAAGUCAGGUGAUCAGGGCACACUUUGAAGGUCUCCAGCCCUUCUCUGUUGCUGCAGGCUCAUGUCUGACUUGCUGAAAAAUCUUUUGGUUAAUAUUUAAUGCCAGCAUUGAAGUGCUAAGGGUGGCAAAUGCCUCACCUAAGCCCCCUGCCUUUGCUUUCUAAUGGGAUGCUAAAUCAGGGUGAGGAGCUACAGCCCCUCCUAGGGGCCUUCUGUCUGAAACGUGUGUCCGGACUGAAUUCAGCAAACUUCCCGAAGCAAGACGCUGUGUUCCCCCACCCAGGGAAGCCAUCUGCUCCCCUCCACCAGCUCCUUCUGCGGGGCUUCGUGCUCGCCAGCCGGGCUGGAAAGCUCUCCUCCUCCUCGCUUGCCCCGGCUCUCCUCGGCCAUCUUGCUAGCAGAAGGCUCGGAACGCGGGGCUGGCUGAAUCUGGGGCGGUGAUGGUGUCAGCCGGAGGCGGUUUCCAGGCAACUGUCGCGCCGUGGGACACGCGAGCCAAGAACACCGGGGACAGCGCGUUCCCAGCGCGCCGCCUGGGAGGGGACCGAGACACACACGGAAGGAGCCGGCACUGGACGGUGCGGAGAGGGUAGCGCAGGGAUGGCAGCAGAGGAGGGGGUCUCCAGAAUAGCCCCUCCUGCCCACUGAUCAUCAUACCCUCCCUGGCUGGGAGUGAGCAUUUCCAAGCUGGCUGCUGGUGCAUCUCACGACAAGGAAGAACUACAUGAUGUACGGGAUUUCACAUGCCUUCUGCGUCCUUUGGAAGGGCAAAGAGAAAAUAAACAUUGUGCCAGACUGUA